ensembl:lncRNA LINC02106 long intergenic non-protein coding RNA 2106
GAGGAAAGCUCACGAUUGGAUUGGAACUUCUAGCGACUGCCUGAGGCGCGUCCUCCGGGUCAUGGGGAAACAGAGGCAGAGACUUGGGAAGGAGAAAUGGAGAAACCAGGGCAACGUGGCCCCGGGAUUGGCUGCACCACGCAGCUGUUGUCCAGUUCCGGAGCUGCCGCGUUCAAUCCGAGUCCCUCCGAUGCUUUCACUGAUAUUAAAAUUUCACUUUUCGAA